rnacentral:rRNA from 1 species
CCUACGGGUGGCAGCAGUGGGGAAUAUUGCACAAUGGGGGGAACCCUGAUGCAGCAACGCCGCGUGGGUGAAGAAGUAUUUCGGUAUGUAAAGCCCUAUCAGCAGGGAAGAAAAUGACGGUACCUGACUAAUAAGCCCCGGCUAACUACGUGCCAGCAGCCGCGGUAAUACGUAGGGGGCAAGCGUUAUCCGGAUUUACUGGGUGUAAAGGGAGCGUAGACGGCAGGGCAAGUCUGAAGUGAAAGCCCGUGGCUCAACCAUGGGACUGCUUUGGAAACUGUGUAGCUGGAGUGCAGGAGGGGUAAGCGGAAUUCCUAGUGUAGCGGUGAAAUGCGUAGAUAUUAGGAGGAACACCGGUGGCGAAGGCGGCUUACUGGACUGUAACUGACGUUGAGGCUCGAAGGCGUGGGGAGCAAACAGGAUUAGAUACCCUAGUAGUC